UUGCUCACUUAGGUAGCACAUGUACUAAAAUUGGUAUAUAGAGAUUAGCAUGACCCUUGUAUAAGGAUGACAUGCAGAUUGUGAAGUGUUCUGUAUUUUA
rnacentral:snRNA from 1 species